rnacentral:lncRNA from 10 species
CACAGGAGACCAAUCAUGAUUUAAGACUCUGCAUUGGGCGUUUUGCAGUUCUAACUCAAUUGUGGUAUUAGCAAAGAAAAAGAGGUAACGGCUACCAGAUAGACAGCCAAUAAAAUCUGCCAGAUGUUCAGAAAGGCAAAAUUAACCUGGAAGUGGUGUGCGGAAUGGAUGAAGGGGAUAAGUUAUAAGGGGCAGUGCUGGAGAACAUACGGAGGAAGGGCAUCAACCAGAGCAUUGAUGACGCCAAGUUAGAGUCAUGUGAAAGCUUUUUGCCAUAUAACUGACCACUGCCUUCCCAGCCAUCAACUCUUCUUUGAGCCGUUUUUUCUCCUUCUUUCUUACAACAACAACUCACUACCCUUCAACUUUAAACUUUCUGCAAAUAACAUAUGGGGAAGUUAUCACUGUCAAGCCUAGAUGUGUGGUGUUAUCGGAAUAAUGAACUUCUCUUUAAGGAAUAUGUAAAAUGCUCCAGUGUGUUGCUCCCCUCUAUGUGUCCAUGUGGUCUCAUCAUUUAGCUCCCACUUACAGGGUCUCUCUCUGUCACCAAACCUGGAGUGUAGUGAUGCGAUCAUGGCUUACUACACCCUCAACCUCCGGUGCUCAAGCCAUCCUCCCACCUCAGCCUGCUGAGUUGCUGGGACUACAGACUCAUGCCACCAUGCCUGUCUAAUUUUUGUAUUUUUUGUAGAGAUAAGGUUUUGCCAUGUUGCCUAGGCUGGCAAGUUAACUAUUAAAAAUGAAUGAUCUCAUGCUCAUAGCUUGCUGUCCAUUUUAAAUACAGUUAUCUGGCAACAUAAUUGGGUAGGCUCAAGGCUGGGCUAGGCACUUUUGUUACAGUGAUGAAUACAUCUAGGCAUACUAUGGAAACAAGAACAUAUUUAAUUCUAAGACCUGAUCAAACCAAUCUUGAAUCACCUAAUGUGUAAAGAACACGUGUUAAAUUGACAAAUUUCCCUUAGAAGUAUGGAACUAAUUCAAUAGCUUUUAAAAUAUUAUUUCCCCUAUCAAUCUAUUAGUCACUUUGGAGAGAUGUAAACAGCAAAGUCAGCAAGCAUUCUUUGAUAUCACAUGUAUAAUCUUGUUUUGAAAAACUGCUCCUGCCUAGUACAUCUUCUGGUGAUAAAUUUCUAGUGAAGAAAACAUCUGGUAAAACUUACUUAUCACCAUGGUCUCAUAAUGAAAAAUGGCAUCCUCAGGAAAAGAGUCUCCUAAAGAUGCAAUUUCUGGAACAAGGUUCUGUGAUAUCUAACAAUGCAACCCUGCAUCACUUCUCUUUACCCAGGCAUUAAAAACAAUUCUCAAUUUUCAAACAUACUGUAUGUCACAUGUGUUAUCGGCAAAUGUAUUUUUCCAUCAAAUAAACAUUACGGUAAUGAUUGGGUUGCCAGUCCAGUCACUACAAGCCUAUUUGAAUCACAAUGUACAGAAAUCUGUUAGGAAGACCACUCCACAAACUAUCCAUCAUGUGUAAGCAUGUUUCUCUUUAGGAAGUAUAUUAAAAAUUUCAUCCUGGACAACCAGAAAUACUUCCUGCUUCUUCCACUUCCCUAAUUUACUCAAAAACUGGGGCAUAUUACAAUUUCUUGCUCAGCAACCUGGCUCUCAUUUUUUAGGCUAAAGAAGUCAUCUAUCUGAACAGAAUCUAGAGGUCAGGACUGAAAUGAACACUUAGGCUGGAUAAAUGAAAAGAGGAAAGAGCUGAUAAGAGUAUUUGGACUACUGAUCCACUGAAAGUGUUUAGCACACACAAAAAAAUGUUUUUCCAUUUCUCCUGUCUGGCUUUAUCAUAGGUUGAACACCCCUUGUACAAUGAAUCCCAAUGCAAGAUUUUAAACCCAUCUGUUAAUUACAUACUUUUAAUAUUAUAACACUGUAAAGUUUUUUUGCAGUUUACCCAGAGAUAAAUUAUAUUAAGUAUGUAAAGUAAGUCAUUCAAUACUUUUUCUAGUAAAGAAUAGAAUGUGUAUGUAAUGGUUCACAGAUUUUGAAUCAUGCUGUAUAUACAGUUUUGUACUCACUGUCAAUGAAUAAUGAAGAUUUGCAUAUGAUAGUUUCUUAAUAUGAUUUUCAUUAGUGUAUAGUAUAAUAAUUAUUGGGCACAAUAUUUUUUAAAUUUAUUUAAUUUAAAUUGUAAUUUAAAUAUUAAUUUAAUUAAUCGAUUUAAUUUUAAUUAAUUUAAUUAAUUUGCACAAUUAUAACAUUAAUGAACACUAUUACACAUCAAGCUUUGUGUACUAAUUUUAUAUUUAUAAUAUUGGAAAAUUAGAAAUAAUGAGUAAAUAGAUACUUUAAAGCUUGGCAUAUAUAUUGACGUUUUUCAAUCCUAGCUUCACAUAAUUAUUUCGGAAGCUUUUAAAAAAUGUUACCUGCGUGUGCACUAUUAAAGUUUUAGUUUGAUCAAUCUCAGGUAGGACCCAAUUUCCCUUGCAUUUAAAAGUUCCCCAGGUGAUUCAAGUAUAAAUUCCAGCUAAAGGCUGAUAUUCACAUUAACAAAUUUAAGCAUAUCAAUUCACACUCCUCCAACAUUGUAAAAAUUGUCUAUUCAGUCUAAAAUUGUGUAUUAUCCUUAUUUUAACCUUGGUCAAGUAAGUGACAAUGGUAUCCAUUAUCAUCUUAAUUUGCAUUUUUUUAUUCAAACUGAAAAUUUUCCAAAAUAUUCGUUAUACAUUUGUAAUUUUCCUUUUAUUAAUUGCCUCUUCAUAUUCCAUGCCCAUUUGUUCACUUGCAAUGUUCAGGUUUUUAUUAUUGUCAACAAUAAUCUAUGAGAAUUAUUCUGCCAAAUACAGCAGAUCUGUCAUUUAUCUUUUAAUUUUGUUGAUGUUGCAGGUUAUAUAAAAAUGUAAAAUAAUUGAAUCUACUUUUUUCAUAUAGUUUUCUAUUAUUAUUAUUAUCCUCAUUUAAGCCAGAUGUCAGCUGAUAUCACUAUACUUCUUAAAACCAAACUAAAACCAUGCAUUUCGAAGUUUAUUUUCUUGUUCACCUCAGGCUCUAGGCUUCAGAUUCCAUCAAAUUAGUUCAAUUUAAUAAUCAUCUUACCAUCACCAUACUCAUUUGUAUAUCUGUGUGUAUGACUAUGUGUGUAUAUUAACUUCUAUACAAUUGUAUAAAUUAUGUAGGUUCAUGG